AUUGAACGCUGGCGGCAGGCCUAACACAUGCAAGUCGAGCGGAUGAAGGGAGCUUGCUCCUGGAUUCAGCGGCGGCCGGGUGAGUCAUGCCUAUGAAUCUGCCUGGUCGUGGGGGAUAACGUCCGGAAACGGGCGCUAAUACCGCAUACGUCCUGAGGGAGAAAGUGGGUGAUCUUCGGACCUCACGCUAUCAUAUGAGCCUAGGUCGGAUUAGCUAGUUGGUGGGGUAAGGGCCUACCAAGGCGACGAUCCGUAACUGGUCUGAGAGGAUGAUCAGACACAUUGUAAGUGAGGAUGGUUCCAGACUCCGACGGGGGGCCACAGCGGGGAAUAUUGGACAAGGGAGGAGAGCCUAAUCCUGCAAUGCCGCGGAUAGGCAGAUGGUCUUAGGAUGGUAAAGCACUUUAAGUUGGGGGGAAGGGCAGUAAGUUAAUACCGUGUUGUUAUGACGUUACCAACAGAAUAAGCUCCGGCUAACUUCGUG
rnacentral:rRNA from 1 species